rnacentral:rRNA from 1 species
UGGGGAAUUUUGGACAAUGGGGGCAACCCUGAUCCAGCAAUGCCGCGUGAGUGAAGAAGGCCUUCGGGUUGUAAAGCUCUUUUGUCAGGGAAGAAAAGGGUACGGCUAAUAUCCGUGCCUCAUGACGGUACCUGAAGAAUAAGCACCGGCUAACUACGUGCCAGCAGCCGCGGUAAUACGUAGGGUGCAAGCGUUAAUCGGAAUUACUGGGCGUAAAGCGUGCGCAGGCGGUUUUGUAAGUCUGUCGUGAAAUCCCCGGGCUUAACCUGGGAAUGGCGAUGGAGACUGCAAGGCUAGAGUUUGGCAGAGGGGGGUAGAAUUCCACGUGUAGCAGUGAAAUGCGUAGAGAUGUGGAGGAACACCGAUGGCGAAGGCAGCCCCCUGGGUCAAGACUGACGCUCAUGCACGAAAGCGUGGGGAGCAAACAGGAUUAGAUACCCUGGUAGUCCACGCCCUAAACGAUGUCUACUAGUUGUUGGGUCUUAAUUGACUUAGUAACGCAGCUAACGCGUGAAGUAGACCGCCUGGGGAGUACGUCGCAAGAUUAAAACUUAAAAUGAAUUGACGGGGUCAUAGCUGUUU